rnacentral:rRNA from 1 species
AUUGAACGCUGGCGGCAUGCCUUACACAUGCAAGUCGAACGGUAACGGGCCUUCGGGUGCCGACGAGUGGCGAACGGGUGAGUAAUGCAUCGGAACGUACCUUUCAGUGGGGGAUAACGUAGCGAAAGUUACGCUAAUACCGCAUAUUCUGUGAGCAGGAAAGCAGGGAUCGCAAGACCUUGCGCUGAUUGAGCGGCCGAUGUCAGAUUAGCUAGUUGGUGAGGUAAAGGCUCACCAAGGCGACGAUCUGUAGCGGGUCUGAGAGGAUGAUCCGCCACACUGGAACUGAGACACGGUCCAGACUCCUACGGAGGCAGCAGUGGGGAAUUUUGGUACAAUGGGGCGGAACCCUACGAUCCAGCCAUGCCGCGUGAGUGAAG